rnacentral:rRNA from 1 species
GACGAACGCUGGCGGCAUGCCUAAUACAUGCAAGUCGAACGAACCAUCCUGAAGAUUGAAGCUUGCUUCAUGAUUCAGACCUUGGUGAGUGGCGGACGGGUGAGUAACACGUGGGUAACCUGCCCAAAAGUGGGGGAUAACAUCUGGAAACAGGUGCUAAUACCGCAUAACAACUACUUUCUCAUGAUCGUAGCUUGAAAGAUGGCUCUGCUAUCGCUUUUGGAUGGACCCGCGGCGUAUUAGCUAGUUGGUGAGGUAAUAGCUCACCAAGGCAAUGAUACGUAGCCGACCUGAGAGGGUAAUCGGCCACAUUGGGACUGAGACACGGCCCAAACUCCUACGGGAGGCAGCAGUAGGGAAUCUUCCACAAUGGGCGAAAGCCUGAUGGAGCAAUGCCGCGUGAGUGAAGAAGGUUUUCGGAUCGUAAAACUCUGUUGUUGAAGAAGAACAUGCGUGAGAGUAACUGUUCACGUACUGACGGUAUUCAACCAGAAAGCCACGGCUAACUACGUGCCAGCAGCCGCGGUAAUACGUAGGUGGCAAGCGUUGUCCGGAUUUAUUGGGCGUAAAGAGAAUGUAGGCGGUUUAUUAAGUUUGAAGUGAAAGCCCUCGGCUCAACCGAGGAAGUGCUUCGAAAACUGGUAAACUUGAGUGCAGAAGAGGAAAGUGGAACUCCAUGUGUAGCGGUGGAAUGCGUAGAUAUAUGGAAGAACACCAGUGGCGAAAGCGGCUUUCUGGUCUGUAACUGACGCUGAGAUUCGAAAGCAUGGGUAGCAAACAGGAUUAGAUACCCUGGUAGUCCAUGCCGUAAACGAUGAGUGCUAAGUGUUGGAGGGUUUCCGCCCUUCAGUGCUGCAGCUAACGCAUUAAGCACUCCGCCUGGGGAGUACGAUCGCAAGAUUGAAACUCAAAGGAAUUGACGGGGGCCCGCACAAGCGGUGGAGCAUGUGGUUUAAUUCGAAGCAACGCGAAGAACCUUACCAGGUCUUGACAUACCAUGAAAAGCUAAGAGAUUAGUCUUUCCCUUCGGGGACAUGGAUACAGGUGGUGCAUGGUUGUCGUCAGCUCGUGUCGUGAGAUGUUGGGUUAAGUCCCGCAACGAGCGCAACCCUUAUUAUCAGUUGCCAGCAUUCAGUUGGGCACUCUGGUGAGACUGCCGGUGACAAACCGGAGGAAGGUGGGGACGACGUCAAAUCAUCAUGCCCCUUAUGACCUGGGCUACACACGUGCUACAAUGGUCGGUACAACGUGCUGCGAACUCGCGAGGGUAAGCAAAUCACUUAAAACCGAUCUCAGUUCGGAUUGUAGGCUGCAACUCGCCUACAUGAAGCUGGAAUCGCUAGUAAUCGCGGAUCAGCAUGCCGCGGUGAAUACGUUCCCGGGCCUUGUACACACCGCCCGUCACACCAUGAGAGUUUGUAACACCCAAAGUCGGUGGGGUAACCCUUCGGGGAACUAGCCGCCUAAGGUGGGACAAAUGAUUAGGGUG